rnacentral:misc_RNA from 1 species
AAGAGUAAGGGUGCUCAGCGCCCGACCUCCAACCCUCUGUUGUUAAAACUACCUUGUUGCUUUGGCGGGACCGCUCGGUCUCGAGCCGCAGGGGCCCCCGGGCCCAGGCGAGCGCCCGCCAGAGUUAAACCAGACUCUUGUUUUUAUAACCGGUCGUCUGAGUAAAAAUUUUUGGAUAGAUCA